ACCCGGCAAUGUCGUUCUCUACUCCAGGCGGCCAGGAAGAAGAUGAGCGGAGAAAAAGAUGAGCGCCCAUGGCGGCGGCCUUCCGACCAGCGGCGCAACACCUCCGAUGUCCCUUCUCGCUCCCGCUGCUCAAAGAGCUUUCCCCAGCACCCUGCGCCUCCGCCGCCCUAUACGACCCUGUCCUCCCACAUCACUAUACCUUCCGGGAUUAGGUCGCCAAGAUCUAGAUUCGAGCUAGUGGAGCUGAAUACGUAUGCGAGUGACUGGUCCUUGUAGUGCUCCGCCGCAGGUAGCUCAUAGGGUCGUAGUCACUAGCCAUACUGUCCGACGCCCACUGCCGCCGACAUGCGCCUCACCCACGAACUAUGGGGAUCAGCGGCGGCGGAGAGGACGGCCUCGUCAUUGAGGUGUUCUGUGCUGAAUUUUCAGCCGACUGAAAAUGAAACCCACUGUUCUGUCAUGGAGGUUUCUCAGUUCUCAUGCCUGUUGCCCCCGUUGUACAGUACAGGAUUGUACGGAACCGUGUGGAGAGUUAUACAGAAUUCUUAUGCUCAGCUACAGCCUACAGGUAUCCGCGUGUUUUUCCGUGUGGAGAAUCACACAGAAUUGCCAAGCGCAAGCAGGGUCUGGAUAUUUUCGCCUUUGACAAGUCCGUGGCCGCCAAGGAUGACCAACUGGUGCCAUGGCCUGAUCAACGGACCCACCCCAGAGCAGUAUAGGUACCAUUCAGCAUUAAUCUCAGUCAGGCGAGACAGACAGACAGACAGAGAGAGAGAGAGAGAGAGAGAGAGAGAGAGAGAGAGAGAGAGAGAGAGCGGAGCUAGAACGAUGAGGCGACGACAUGAGCUGCUGGUCUCGCCGUCUUGUUGCUUGAGCGGCCUCGUGCUGCUGCUGCUGGCGCUGUCUGCUCGAGCUCAGCGGCAAGCACAGACAGAUGUCACAGAUCCGUCCGAAGUGGCCGCGCUGAACAUCAUCUUCUCACGGUGGGGCCUGCAGGCGUCGGCGGCGUGGAACAUCAGUGGCGAGCCUUGCAGCGGUGCCGCCAUCGACGGCACCGACAUAGAUUCAGACCCUGAAUUAAAACCGGCCAUUAAGUGUGACUGCUCCUACAACGCCAGCACCGUCUGCCACAUCACCAGGCUGAAAGUAUACGCACUAGAUGUGGUUGGUCAGAUUCCUGUGGAACUGCAAAAUCUAACUUACCUGACAAGCCUGAAUUUAGCGCAGAAUUACUUGACAGGAUCUUUGCCAGCAUUUCUUGGAAAGCUGACUCGGUUGCAGUAUCUAACUUUGAGUAUCAAUGCAUUAACUGGAGUUUUACCGAGCGAGCUGGGUAACCUCAAGAAUCUCAUUUCUCUGGGCGUUAGCACAAAUAAGUUUGUCGGUCCACUCCCCGAAGUAGUAGAAAACUUGACCAAACUUGAGCAACUGUAUAUCGAUAGUUGUGGUUUAAGUGGAGAGCUACCAUCUUCCUUUUCCAAACUUAAGAACCUGAAAAUCCUAUGGGCAUCAGAUAACGGGUUUACUGGGAAGAUACCUGAUCACAUUGGAAGCUUAUCAAAUUUGCAGGAUCUGAGAUUCCAUGGAAAUAACUUUGACGGUCCCAUUCCUGCAAGUUUUUCUAAUCUUAUCAACUUGACAAAUUUGCGAAUUGGUGAUUUAAUGGGAGAGCUGUCUUCAUUGGCUUGUGGUUAACAUGACGUCGUUGUAUACUCUAGUUCUGAGAAACUCCAGGAUAUCUGACAACCUUUCUUCAGUGGACUUCUCAAAAUUUGUUAACCUCAACUAUCUGGACUUGAGUUUUAACAGCAUCACAGGCAAAGUUACUCCAAACCUUCUGAACCUGAAUCCCCUCGAAUUCCUAUUUCUUGGGAGUAAUAACCUCUCUGGGAGCCUACCAGAUAUGAUUAGCACUUCACUUACUACUAUUGAUCUGUCAUACAAUAUGCUCUCAGGAAGAUACCCUUCUUGGGUUAACAUGAAUAAUUUACAUGUGAAUUUGGUGUGGAACAACUUUGGGAUAGAUAACUCGAACAACAGUAUUUUGCCUUCACGACUAAAUUGUCUUCAGCGAGAUACUCCAUGUUUUGAUUCUCCAUCUUAUUCCUCCUUUGCGGUAGACUCUGGUGGUUCGAGACCCAUCAGAGGCUCAGACAACUCCAUUUACGAACCUGAUGAUGCCAGUCUUCCAGUUGCAUCAUACUAUGUUACGGACUCAACGAGAUGGGGCGUUAGCAACAUCGGGAGAUUCAUGGACCCGUCUAAUGGGAGUUAUAUAAUAUACACUUCUCGCCAGUUUACCAACACACUUGAUUCUGAACUAUUUCAGACAGCCAGAAUGUCACCCUCUUCAUUGAGAUACUUCGGCAUUGGGCUCAAGAAUGGCAUGUACAGCGUUGUACUUCAGUUUGCAGAGAUUUUUUUCCCAGAUGACGAGACAUGGAAAAGCGUGGGAAAGAGGAUUUUCAAUAUAUAUAUCCAGGGAGAUCUUAAAGAAACAGACUUCGAUAUAAAGAAACAAACAAAUGGAAAAUCUUACACUGUUAUUCAGAGACAGUAUACUGUUGAAGUAAUGAAUAAUUUCAUUGAUAUCCAUCUCUUUUGGGCUGGAAAGGGCACUUGUUGCAUUCCUGAACAAGGGUUCUAUGGGCCAUCUAUAUCAGCCUUAAGCGUAUCUUCUUAUGGUAGCAACGGUGAAGGGGAUUCUGGUUCACAGAGAAACAGCACUAUCAGUAGAACAGGUUUGGUUGUUGGAGUUGUAGUCUGUGUUGCGGUUUUAGGAUUUCUAGCAUUCGCUGGGGCCUUUGUUUGGAGGCAGAAAAGAAGGAGGUUAGAGGUGGAAAUGGAAGAGCUGUUCACUAUAGUUGGAAGGCCUAACAUUUUCAGUUAUGGUGAAAUAAAAUCUGCUACGGACAGUUUUAGUCUUAGCAACAUUCUUGGAAGAGGGGGUUAUGGACCUGUUUACAAGGGUAAGCUACUUGAUGGGAGGAUUGUAGCUGUAAAGCAGCUGUCUUCUACAUCUCAUCAAGGGAAAAAGGAGUUCAUGACAGAAAUUGCCACCAUAUCUGCGGUGCAGCACCGAAACCUCGUGAAGUUGCACGGUUGUUGCAUCGACAGUAAGACGCCACUUUUGGUCUAUGAGUACCUGGAACAAGGGAGCCUUGAUCAAGCAAUCUUUGGCAAGACAGACUUGAACCUAGAUUGGAGAACGCGCUUCGAGAUAUGCGUUGGCAUUGCAAGAGGUCUAGCAUAUCUCCAUGAGGAGUCCAGCAUGCGGAUAGUCCACAGGGACAUCAAAGCCAGCAAUGUCUUGCUCGACGCUGAUCUCAACCCUAAGAUCUCUGACUUCGGGCUGGCCAGGCAUUACAAGGACAGCAUGACGCAUCUCAACACCGGAGUCGCUGGCACGCUUGGUUAUCUCGCACCCGAGUACGCCAUGAUGGGACACCUGACGGAGAAGGCCGACGUUUUCGCAUUCGGGGUCGUGGCACUGGAGAUCCUCGCUGGACGCCGGAACUUCGAUGACAGUCUCGAGGAAGAUGAGAAGUAUCUUCUUGGAUGUGCCUGGCAUCUGCAUGAGAGCCAACGGACACUUGAACUGUUGGACAGUAAACUCAUUGAAUUCGACGAGGAAGAGGCUGCGCGACUCAUCAAUGUUGCUCUUCUAUGCACGAUGGGCCUGCCUCAGCGGCGCCCACCGAUGUCCAAGGUCGUGUCCAUGCUCACGGAAGAUAUCGAGGUGACCGACGUGGACACCACCAUGAGGCCUAGCUACGUGCCGGAAUGGCAGGUCAGGAGCUUCAGCAGCAGUUACGUCUCAGGGUCGGGGUCGUCGGCUCAGCAGUCCUCACGCAGUCAAAUCAGCGCGCUGUCCAGCUCGAGCAAGAAGCCCGGGAACCACAGGGACACCUCGCCGCUCGCCCUGUCGCCUUGUUCUAGCGGCGGGAUCGACGAGGGAGCGGAUUCUGGUUCGAGAUGAGAAUCUAGAUCUUGUCCUUUCCAACAUUGGGUCCUAGUAAUUUCUUCUUGCUAUAUGUUCAUAUUUGGUUAGUUCUUCUGCUUAAUUUAGGAUGAUUUUUGUUUUCUCUCGCAAAUACAUAGAUGUCUCGCUCUUUGAUUCGUAUAAUUUUCACACGACCUUUUGAACACUCUGUGAAUUGAAAAGGAAGAUA